rnacentral:tRNA from 1 species
GGGGGUAUAGCUCAGUGGUAGAGUGCGUGCUUAGCAUGCACAAGGUCCUGAAUUCAAUCCCCAGUACCUCCA